UGGGGAAUUUUGCGCAAUGGGCGAAAGCCUGACGCAGCAAUACCGCGUGAGUGAUGAAGGCUCUUGGGUCGUAAAGCUCUGUCAGAGGGGAAGAACCUCCUGUCGUUUAAUAUGCGGCAGGCCUGACGGUACCCUCAAAGGAAGCACCGGCUAACUCCGUGCCAGCAGCCGCGGUAAUACGGAGGGUGCAAGCGUUGUUCGGAAUUAUUGGGCGUAAAGAGCAUGUAGGCGGCUCGCCAAGUCUGAUGUGAAAGCCCUGGGCUCAACCCAGGAAGUGCAUUGGAAACUGGCGAACUUGAGUACGGGAGAGGAAAGUGGAAUUUCGAGUGUAGGAGUGAAAUCCGUAGAUAUUCGAAGGAACACCAGUGGCGAAGGCGGCUUUCUGGACCGAUACUGACGCUGAGAUGCGAAAGCGUGGGGAGCAAACA
rnacentral:rRNA from 1 species